GAAAUGCGAUACGUAGUGUGAAUUGCAGAAUUCCGUGAACCAUCGAAUCUUUGAACGCAGAUUGCGCUCGAGGCUUCGGCCGAGAGCAUGCCUGCCUCAGCGUCGGUUAUCACUCUCCACUCCUUCGGGAUGGGACCUGGCUCUCUCGAUUGUGUGGUGUUUUCCAGCAUCGAUCGGGUUGGCUGAAAGCAAUUGGGCGCCGGCAACUCUGCUGGUUUGAACAAGGUAGGUAGUCCCUUUUGGGAGGCUGCAUGCCGUUGAAGCCGCGGAUGCCAUUGGGUGCCUUGAGGACACGUGUAGCCUUGGCUGCACAUUUUCGACCUGAGUUCAGGCAAGAACACCCGCUGAACUUAA
rnacentral:misc_RNA from 1 species